GAGCCGUAUGUGGUGAGAGUCGCACGUACGGUAAGGAGGGGGGUUCGCGUCUAUACGUGUUGUGUGGUGGUUGGGCCUACCCACCCUAU
rnacentral:ncRNA from 1 species